rnacentral:rRNA from 1 species
UACGUAGGGUGCAAGCGUUGUCCGGAAUUAUUGGGCGUAAAGAGCUCGUAGGCGGUCUGUCGCGUCGGCUGUGAAAACCCGAGGCUCAACCUCGGGCCUGCAGUCGAUACGGGCAAACUAGAGUACUGCAGGGGAGACUGGAAUUCCUGGUGUAGCGGUGAAAUGCGCAGAUAUCAGGAGGAACACCGGUGGCGAAGGCAGGUCUCUGGGCCGAUACUGACGCUGAGGAGCGAAAGCGUGGGGAGCGAACAGG